GGAGCCUGGGGGAUUGGGGGUGGAGUUGGUUGGCGGAGACAGAGUGGUCUUUUUUCUAGGGGGUGAAAGGCGGACGAUCAUGUGUGCGGAGCCCAUGACAAAAGGCUCUUUUAUGUGCAGCGUAUGCAGAUAGAGGAGGCUCCUUUGUGCGCAAACGGAGAUCCCACCACUGGGUCUGCCCGGGGCGGAGGGAGGGAAGGAGGGAGGGAGGAGGAGUAAGGGAGUGAGAGAAGAAGGGGUGGAUCUGGUAUCGAGCGCCUUCAAUGUGUCGGCCAGGGGAAAAGGAAGGGGUGUAGUGGUGUGGUAAAGACAACCUGGGUUGCCCUGCCCUCCUGUCCAAGUCAGGUUCAGAUAUUCAGAUACAGAGGAAUCACUGGGGUUAUUAGGGGAAUAUCAGGGGAAACACUGGUUAUUAUGUGGAUAUUAGGGUAAACACUGGAGUCAUUAGCGGAAUAUCAGGGGAAACACUGGUUAUUAGGUGGAUAUUAGGGGAAACACUGGGGUUACUAGGGAGAUAUUAAGGAAAACACUGGGGUUACUAGAGGGAUAUUAGGGGAAACACUGGGGUUACUAGGGAGAUAUUAAGGAAAACACUGGGGUUACUAGAGGGAUAUUAGGGGAAACACUGGGGUUACUAGGGAGAUAUUAGGGAAAACACUGGGGUUACUAGAGGGAUAUUAGGGGAAACACUGGGGUUACUAGGGAGAUAUUAAGGAAAACACUGGGGUUACUAGAGGGAUAUUAGGGAAAACACUGGGGUUACUAGGGAGAUAUUAGGGAAAACACUGGGGUUACUAGAGGGAUAUUAGGGGAAACACUGGGGUUACUAGAGGGAUAUUAGGGGAAACACUGGGGUUACUAGAGGGAUAUUAGGGGAAACACUGGGGUUACUAGGGAGAUAUUAGGGGAAACACUGGGGUUACUAGAGGGAUAUUAGGGGAAACACUGGGGUUAUUAGGGAGAUAUUAGGGGAAACACUGGGGUUACUAGGGAGAUAUUAGGGAAAACACUGG
rnacentral:lncRNA from 1 species